GGUUCUGCUGGCGGGGUGGGGGCGGCAGCCCGCGGGCGCUCACUCCUCCCAGUUCCCGUCCGGCGGAGGAAGCGAGUCACGGGGAGGGCAGGAGGGAGCGCGGCAGGCGGGGGGUGGCUUCCUGCCGCCAUUAACUCCUCGGGCUUAGCCUGCGCGGCGGCUGUCUCUCCUGUGAGGGUGGAGGCUCCAGAUGGUGUCCGCCUGUUCAUCUCCCCAGCUGUGGACAGCUAGGGGCUGGGAUGGCUUCCCGCAGCCCCGCUCUUGGCUCUGUCCCUUGGACAGCAGGGGAGGGGGGAUCCAGCAGGGCUGUGGGAUCCCCCUCAGCUGAGGGAGAUCUCCCUGGCUGUGAGGGUGCUUGUUUGAUGGAAAUGAGGAGAAGGCGGCAUUCUCCUGCGUCAGCCUGUGGGGCUGGAGGACCUACAGCUGUGGGGGAGCUGUCUGCUACACCCUUUGGGGUGUCCCAGCUCCCUUUGAAGGCACUACAGGACUGGGGGCUGCCGGCAGGGUCAGCCAGGCUACCGGGUGGCUGGGAGGAGCACCCUGGGGCCUCAGCUGCUUUCUAGGACCAGCACAGCUGAUGGCGAAGAUGGACCUGCUUGUGAGCGGCCCUCAUUUGCAGCAUCUCCACUCUGGUGAGACCCCACCUGGAGUCCUGUGUCCAGGUCUGGAGGCCUCAGCACAGGAGAGACAUGGACCUGUUGCAGAGGAGCCAGAGGAGCCACAGAAAUGAUCAGAGGGCUGGAACAGCUCUGCUGUGAGGACAGGCUGAGAGAGUUGGGGUUGUUCAGCCUGGAGAAGAGAAGGCUCCGGGGAGACCUUAUUGCGGCCUUUGAGUGCUUAAAAGGGGCCUAUAAGAAAGAUGGGGGCAGACUGUUUAGCAGGGCCAGUUGCGAUAGGACAAGGGGUAAUGGUUUAAAACUAAGAGAGGGGAGAUUCAGGCCAGACAUGAGGAAGAAAUGUUUUACAGUGAGGGUGGUGAAACACUGGCCCAGGUUGCCCAGAGAGGUGGUAGAUGCCCCAUCCUUGGAGACAUUCAAGGCCGGGCUGGACGGGGCUCUGAGCAACCUGAUCUGGUUGAAGAUGUCCCUGCUCAUUGCAGGGGGUUGGACUAGAUGACAUUUGAAGGUUCCUUCCAACCCAAGCUAUUCUGUGAUUCUAUGAUCUGCAUUUGUUUUUGUGUAUGGACAACUCUCCAAGUGACACCAUGGGACCACAGAGUAUUCCUGACAGAUUAAAAGACUGUGCAGAAGCGGGUGGCCUUAGGAAAGCUUUGCAGAUCAGCUGGAUGAUCGUUUGUUUUUAAUUUUGUAUGAGAAAUUAUCAUUGAACCUUGUAAUUUUGGCUACGAUAUUUCUAUGCGUCUGACAUUGAUUGGUAUUGCUUCUGAAGCUUGUGAGAGGACCUCUAACCCCAAGUGCCAAGCCUGCCUUGGUGUGACUCUGCUCCACGGUCCUGAAGCUGGACGCCGUGUUCCAGGCCCUUGAAUAAGAACAGAGUUCUCACAUUCAGUCCACUUUUCCUGCCUGAAUAAAGACACUGAGCCAUAAUAAAAACCACUAGCUAAUACCAAAAAAUAUCAAAUAUGUCAGUAUAUAUUUACAUAAUGAAAAAACAUAAUGAAAAUAGAUAUGGCUUUAUCAGAAAAUGUUGUUUCAGAUAAUUUUAGAAUGGUGGAAAGAGGUCAGAGGUUUUUUGGUUUUUUGUUUGUUUUCCUACAGAAUGUGAAGUAAGGCACUAGUUAGACUUAAGAACCCAUGACUGCUUCUGAGCCAGUUUUGUCAGUCUGUGUUAAAGUCUUACUUUUCUUUCUUCAGAGAUUUUGAAAACAUUACUCGAAAUUCACUGAGGAAGAGAAGAGCAUGCUUUAUCAGAUUUUGUGCAUCUUAAAGUAGCUUCAGGGUAUUUUUGAAUAUUUCCCAAAUACUUCUGUUACAACUCUGCCCUUUCCUUUCCCCCUCUAGGCUUCCGAUAGUUCAGCAACAGCUCUUCCCCACUGAGUUGAAGUGUUUUCUUCAUGAAGAAAACAUCAACAUGCUUUGUAUUUUUAUUUUACAUUGUCUUCCCUCCCAAGAGCUAUAACCUUUAAGGUCUUAUCUUGUUCUUGAUGACUUUGUCUAGUCUAAGGUUCAGGUGUGGAAGCCUGUUGUCAUUCCAAAAUUGAGGUCAGCUCUUUCCAGAACAGGUUCUACUAGCUUUGUUUAAAUAAAACAGAGGGCACAUCAGUAACUACUGAAGGGUGACACUUUUACUAUCUGUCAUUCCUUACAGCUUUGUAACCUAUAGUACUACUCCCAAACAUUUCAACUAUUUACUUAUACAACAGUAGUGAUAUUAUUGUUUAAAUUGGGUACCUUUGUGUAUAGGCAGACCUUUGGGUAGAGGGUAUCUAAGCCUUUGACAGUAGCAGAGGCUGUCCUUGGGUUGUCACUGCUUUCUGUGCAGGGCACCAGCACUGGGCAGCCUGGCAGGUCCAGCUCCAGCUGAAGAUGCCCUGCGGUACCUGUGCUGCAUCUGGGACCCGAGGGAGCUUCUUCAGAGCCAUCUCUGUAGCCUCGCAUCACAGAGUAUUUUACACUCCUCGGAAGAGAAGUGGCGCGGUGUUUAUCUCGGCGUGUGGUCCAGGAGCUGCUCGCUGCGCUGGGCAGUGCCAGCAGGGAACGAACACCACUGCAGCUCCUCUUGUCUAAAUCUGGGUAUUGAGUGCAAUACUCGGUUACUACAAGAAGUCUCGCUAGUGAAAAGCGCUGUUCUUCAAAGUCAGUUUUAAAGGGAACACUGUACAUAUGGAAAGAGAAUAGGGAAACGGCAGACACAGUACAUAGAAUCAAUCACCUGAAUAUUCAAAAAACCUGUCACGGCGGCAUGCACUGAGCUGUGAACACUUCCAGUAAGCAGUCCAAAGUGGAAACUUAAGGUAAAAACCCUGGAAAUUGAUACAUAUUGCUUAUAAAACUAAUAAGAAUUUAUAAUAUCAAAUAAAAUCAAUAAAUAAUUGA